rnacentral:rRNA from 14 species
ACGGGUGAGUAAUGCCUAGGAAUCUGCCUGAUAGUGGGGGAUAACGUCCGGAAACGGACGCUAAUACCGCAUACGUCCUACGGGAGAAAGUGGGGGCUCUUCGGACCUCACGCUAUCAGAUGAGCCUAGGUCGGAUUAGCUAGUUGGUGGGGUAAAGGCUCACCAAGGCGACGAUCCGUAACUGGUCUGAGAGGAUGAUCAGUCACACUGGAACUGAGACACGGUCCAGACUCCUACGGGAGGCAGCAGUGGGGAAUAUUGGACAAUGGGCGAAAGCCUGAUCCAGCCAUGCCGCGUGUGUGAAGAAGGUCUUCGGAUUGUAAAGCACUUUAAGUUGGGAGGAAGGGUCGUUACCUAAUACGUGGCGAUUUUGACGUUACCGACAGAAUAAGCACCGGCUAACUCUGUGCCAGCAGCCGCGGUAAUACAGAGGGUGCAAGCGUUAAUCGGAAUUACUGGGCGUAAAGCGCGCGUAGGUGGUUUGUUAAGUUGGAUGUGAAAUCCCCGGGCUCAACCUGGGAACUGCAUCCAAAACUGGCAAGCUAGAGUAGGGCAGAGGGUGGUGGAAUUUCCUGUGUAGCGGUG